rnacentral:rRNA from 1 species
AACGUAGGAGACAAACGUUAUCCGGAGUUACUGGGCGUAAAGGGCGUGUAGGCGGUUUGUUAAGUCUGGCGUGAAAGCUCUCGGCUAAACCGGGAGAGGUCGUUGGAUACUGGCAAACUAGAGGAUGGUAGAGGCGUGUGGAAUUCCGGGUGUAGUGGUGAAAUGCGUAGAGAUCGGGAGGAACACCUGUGGCGAAGGCGGCCGACUGGGCCGUCCCUGACGCUGAGGCGCGAAAGCGUGGGGAGCGAACCGG